AGGGAAUCUUCCACAAUGGACGCAAGUCUGAUGGAGCAACGCCGCGUGAGUGAAGAAGGUUUUCGGACCGUAAAGCUCUGUUGUUGGUGAAGAAGGAUAGAGGUAGUAACUGGCCUUUAUUUGACGGUAAUCAACCAGAAAGUCACGGCUAACUACGUGCCAGCAGCCGCGGUAAUACGUAGGUGGCAAGCGUUGUCCGGAUUUAUUGGGCGUAAAGCGAGCGCAGGCGGAAGAAUAAGUCUGAUGUGAAAGCCCUCGGCUUAACCGAGGAAUUGCAUCGGAAACUGUUUUCUUGAGUGCAGAAGAGGAGAGUAGAACUCCAUGUGUAGCGGUGGAAUGCGUAGAUAUAUGGAAGAAUACCAGUGGCGAAGGCGGCUCUCUGGUCUGCAACUGACGCUGAGGCUCGAAAGCAUGGGUAGCGAACAGGAUUAGAUACCCUGGUAGUCCAUGCCGUAAACGAUGAGUGCUAAGUGUUGGGAGG
rnacentral:rRNA from 1 species